rfam:Salmo salar isolate Sally breed double haploid chromosome ssa20, whole genome shotgun sequence.
AAUGCACCAAUUUGUAAGUCGCUCUGGAUAAGAGCGUAUGCUUAAUGACGUAAA